GACGAACGCUGGCGGCGUGCUUAACACAUGCAAGUCGAACGCUGAAGCUUGGUGCUUGCACUGGGUGGAUGAGUGGCGAACGGGUGAGUAAUACGUGAGUAACCUGCCCUUGACUCUGGGAUAAGCCUGGGAAACUGGGUCUAAUACUGGAUAUGACAUGCCACUGCAUGGUGGUGUGUGGAAAGGGUUUUACUGGUUUUGGAUGGGCUCACGGCCUAUCAGCUUGUUGGUGGGGUAAUGGCCUACCAAGGCGACGACGGGUAGCCGGCCUGAGAGGGUGACCGGCCACACUGGGACUGAGACAUGGCCCAGACUCCUACGGGAGGCAGCAGUGGGGAAUAUUGCACAAUGGGCGGAAGCCUGAUGCAGCGACGCCGCGUGAGGGAUGACGGCCUUCGGGUUGUAAACCUCUUUCAGCACGGAAGAAGCGAGAGUGACGGUACGUGCAGAAGAAGCGCCGGCUAACUACGUG
rnacentral:rRNA from 1 species